rnacentral:lncRNA from 1 species
UGCUUGGGUUUUGCCCUUCUUCAGAAGGCUUUUUAAUUUAAAUUGAAGAUAUAUAAAAAAUAAAAUAGAUAAUUUACAACAUGAACACUGUUAACCUCUGUUAAGUUUAUGGACAGGUGUCAACUUCUUAGUCGUGGCACAGGGUUGGCACUGGUUAAAUGGGAACAGAUGAUUUACUUCCUGCUAUGUCACCUAAACACAUCACCAAUUAAAAAAAUUAUGUCAUAUCAUUCUUAAAUAAAAAAGCAAUCUUAUCCUUCUAAUCUAAUGGCUCUAAAUUAUUGUCUUUUUAUUAAGAGAAAAAAUUUAAUUGUUUUGUCUUUGUUUUAUAUCAAAACUAUAUAUUUCUAACCUUUUCUUUCUCUUUUUUCCUUUUUAUCACUAUCAUGCACUAAAAUAUAACGUGAAAAUACAUAUAAUUUUGAGAAUAUACUAGUUCAAAAAUGUGAAUUCUUAAGGAUAAAUAUACACACACACACACACAUACAUACAUAUAUAAUUUUUGUUUAAGGAAAAACAAUUUCAUCCAAGAACAA